AGUUAUACGAGUCGUCAGUCUAGUGUCAGAUACGAAGUUAUUCAGCUCAACGUGCGGAAGAAAAAUAUCCACAUUCUCACACAUCUGCUUAUUGCUAGUAAUGUUUGAAUGAACGACAGCAAUAGUAGUAAAACAAUAAUAUCGUUAAUAAUAAUACAAAAAAAAAAAAAAUUCACAAUAAUUGCAACAGUGUGAGCAAUAAAUGUAACAACACUAGAACUGGAAAAGUGUGCAAAAAUAUUACGUAGUAAAUUGAAAUAAAAACCAAUUUUAAAAAAUCUAAGCUAAACACAAAGUGGAAGUAAAAUUCAAAAGUAGCGCCACGCCAAGCCGUUACAAAGUGUAAAAAGUUUACAAAAUUAAAAUUAAAAAUUUACAAAAAUAUUAAAAAAUUAUAAAUAAAAAACUUUACUUAUUAAAAAAUCCAUAUAUGUAUACUUUAUGUGUUAAAUGUUUACACUAACUGACAAACAAUACAAUUUUUAGUGUUUUAACAAAAAUUUCAGCUAAAACAAAUUUCACACAAUUUUACAUUUCAAUGUAAAGAAAAAUCAAUAUUCAAAUUCAUCAAACUAUUAAUGGUCAGCGUAAAACAUACCUAAAAACAACUUAAUACCAAAAACUAAGCCAAGCUUAAGAGUAUUUAGUGCAUAUUGUGAUAAAUAGAGAACAAGCGUUAAGUGGAAAGCAGAAAAAUUUGCGCUUAUACAAUUUUCGGAAAAGCUGAAUAUUAAAGGAAAUAAUACAAAAAGUUCGGUUUAAGUGACACACAAAUCGCUGCACGGUAAAAAACGCAAAGCAAAACCAAAAAGCCGUAAAACAACUAUUUGAAAGUGUAGAAAACUCAUUAUGCUCCAAGUGGAAAAAAAAAAUAAUAUUUCCAGAUAAUUAGUGGCAAGCCAGUGAUGCAAAAGGAAAAAAUACUUUAAAAUUAUCAGCAAACAACAAAAAUAGCAAAAAGCAUAUUAAGAAAAAAAUUUCUUCACAAAAAACAAUAUUUAGAAACCAAAAAUACCGCAUACAUACAAACUUUUCAGUGUAGUGUAGUUGUGUAUUGUGUAAAAAUUAAAGCCGAUUUGUGGAAACUUGCGCGCAUUAAUUGUGAAAAAUUUGCGAAACCAAAUUAGUAACGCAAAGCCAAACAACAAAACAAAAAUAAAAAAAAAUCACUAAACAACCAAAAUUUAAAAUACAACCCAGCAGCGCUAUAAAAAUCGUGAAAAGUUUAACCCCUGAAAAAUAAGCAAUCGUAAUAUAGCUUAUUGGAGUACGCAUUUAUUCGAGCAUAAAUGGUGAGUGACUCAUCGGUUUUAUAUAUGAGAAAAAGUGUAAGUUUAACACUAGAAAAAUGUCGAAAACGUGGUAGACCGAAAACUAUUGCGCUUUGCAUAUUAGUAAUAGUAAAUUUUGUUAUCGAUAAAUUCUAAGGAUAUACAUAUAUUUUUUUGGCUCUGUUUUACUUUUGUAUAACCAAAGCAAAGGAAAUGAAACCAAAAUGCAUUCAGUGUUAUGCACUCUAAUAGAGUGCAUUUUAAUGUCGAUAUGAGUUAUCGAUAUAUUCUUGUUAAUCGAUAAAUAUCGAUAAACUUUUAUACGAAUGUUAUAAGACUUUAGGUUCAGGGAAUAUAGAAAUUUUCAAA